rnacentral:rRNA from 1 species
AGUGAACGCUGGCGGUAGGCCUAACACAUGCAAGUCGAACGGCAGGACAGUAAGAGCUUGCUCUUACGGGUGGCGAGUGGCGGGCGGGUGAGGAAUACAUCGGCAUCUACUUUUUCGUGGGGGAUAACGUAGGGAAACUUACGCUACUACCGCAUACGACCUACGGGUGAGAGCAGGAGAUCUUCGCACCUUGCGCGAUUGAUUGAGCCGGUGUCGGAUUAGCUAGUUGGCGGGGUAAGGGCCCACCAAGGCGACGAUACGUAGCUGGUCUGAGAGGAUAAUCAGCCACACUGGAACUGAGACACGGUCCAGACUCCUACGGGAGGCAGCAGUGGGGAAUAUUGGACAAUGGGCGCAAGCCUGAUCCAGCCAUACCGCGUGGGUGAAGAAGGCCUUCGGGUUGUAAAGCCCUUUUGUUGGGAAAGAAAAGCAGCAGGUGAAUACCCCGCUGUUCUGACGGUACCCAAAGAAUAAGCACCGGCUAACUUCGUG